rnacentral:rRNA from 1 species
UCAGUAACUCUUAUUUUAUUUGAUGUAUUAGGACUAUAACUAUGUUAAAUUAUAGAUAACAAUAAUACAAUAAGAAUAAGAUCUAUCAGUUAGUUGUUAAGGUAAUGGCUUAACAAGACUAUGACGGAUAACGGUAUUACUUUGUAAUAUUCCGGAGAAGGAGCCUGAGAGAUUGCUACUAAGUCUAAGGAUUGCAGCAGGGGCGAAACUUGACCUAUGAUAUGAUAUUGAGGCAGUUAUGAGUAGUAUUUUAUAAUUAUUGUAGUAUUGUAAGUAUAUGCUACAAGAUAAAUCGGAGGGCAAAUCGAGUGCCAG